rnacentral:rRNA from 1 species
CCUACGGGUGGCAGCAGUGAGGAAUAUUGGUCAAUGGCCGUAAGCCUGAACCAGCCAAGUCGCGUGAGGGAUGACGGCUCUAUGGAUUGUAAACCUCUUUUAUAAGGGAAUAAAGUGUGGGACGUGUCCUGUUUUGUAUGUACCUUAUGAAUAAGGAUCGGCUAACUCCGUGCCAGCAGCCGCGGUAAUACGGAGGCUCCGAGCGUUAUCCGGAUUUAUUGGGUUUAAAGGGUGCGUAGGCGGCCUUUUAAGUCAGCGGUGAAAGUCUGUGGCUCAACCAUGGAAUUGCCGUGGAAACUGGGAGGCUUGAGUAUGUUGAAGGCAGGCGGAAUGCGUGGUGUAGCGGUGAAAUGCUUAGAUAUCACGCAGAACCCCGAUUGCGAAGGCAGCCUGCCAAGCCAUGACUGACGCUGAUGCACGAAAGCGUGGGGAUCAAACAGGAUUAGAUACCCCUGUAGUC